rnacentral:rRNA from 1 species
CUACGGGGCGCAGCAGUUAGGAAUAGUACGCAAUGGGCGAAAGCCUGACGUCGUGACGCCGCGUGGAGGAGGACAGCUUUCGGGCCGUAAACUCCUUUUCUGUGGGAAGAUUAUGACUGUACCACAGGAAUAAGUAUCGGCUAAUUACGUGCCAGAAGCCUCGGUAAUACGUAAGAUACGAGCGUUAUCCGGAAUCAUUGGGCGUAAAGAGCGCGUAGGCGGUUUUUUAAGUCCGGCUUUAAAGAUCACGGCUCAACCGUGAGAGUGGGUCGGAUACUGGGAAACUUGAGUAUUAGCAGGGGCAAGCGGAAUCUGCGGUGUAGGGGUAAAAUCCAUUGAUAUCGCAGAGAACACCAAAGGCGAAGGCAGCUUGCUAGGCAAUCACUGACGCUGAGGCGCGAAAGCGUGGGUAGCAAACGGGAUUAGAUACCCUAGUAGUC